GCUAGUGUGGUGUAGUGGUUUGAGUGUUGCUAUGAAUUUAGAGACCAGGGUUUGAAUCCCUGCUCUGUCA